GAUGAAGGGAGCUUGCUCCUGGAUUCAGCGGCGGACGGGUGAGUAAUGCCUAGGAAUCUGCCUGGUAGUGGGGGAUAACGUCCGGAAACGGGCGCUAAUACCGCAUACGUCCUGAGGGAGAAAGUGGGGGAUCUUCGGACCUCACGCUAUCAGAUGAGCCUAGGUCGGAUUAGCUAGUUGGUGGGGUAAAGGCCUACCAAGGCGACGAUCCGUAACUGGUCUGAGAGGAUGAUCAGUCACACUGGAACUGAGACACGGUCCAGACUCCUACGGGAGGCAGCAGUGGGGAAUAUUGGACAAUGGGCGAAAGCCUGAUCCAGCCAUGCCGCGUGUGUGAAGAAGGUCUUCGGAUUGUAAAGCACUUUAAGUUGGGAGGAAGGGCAGUAAGUUAAUACCUUGCUGUUUUGACGUUACCAACAGAAUAAGCACCGGCUAACUUCGUGCCAGCAGCCGCGGUAAUACGAAGGGUGCAAGCGUUAAUCGGAAUUACUGGGCGUAAAGCGCGCGUAGGUGGUUCAGCAAGUUGGAUGUGAAAUCCCCGGGCUCAACCUGGGAACUGCAUCCAAAACUACUGAGCUAGAGUACGGUAGAGGGUGGUGGAAUUUCCUGUGUAGCGGUGAAAUGCGUAGAUAUACGAAGGAACACCAGUGGCGAAGGCGACCACCUGGACUGAUACUCACACUGAGGUGCGAAAGCAUGGGGAGCAAACACGAGGAGGUACCCUCCUAGUCCACGCGUGAUACUAUGUCUACUAGCCCUUUGGAUCCUUCAGAAGUAAUUGCCGC
rnacentral:rRNA from 1 species